GACGAACGCUGGCGGCGUGCCUAAUACAUGCAAGUCGAGCGAAGUUUUUCUGGUGCUUGCACUAGAAAAACUUAGCGGCGAACGGGUGAGUAACACGUAAAGAACCUGCCUCAUAGACUGGGACAACUAUUGGAAACGAUAGCUAAUACCGGAUAACAGUAUUUCUCGCAUGAGAGAUAUUUAAAAGUUGGUUAUGCUAACACUAUGAGAUGGCUUUGCGGUGCAUUAGCUAGUUGGUGGGGUAAAGGCCCACCAAGGCGACGAUGCAUAGCCGACCUGAGAGGGUGAUCGGCCACACUGGGACUGAGACACGGCCCAGACUCCUACGGGAGGCAUCAGUAGGGAAUCUUCCGCAAUGGGCGAAAGCCUGACGGAGCAACGCCGCGUGAGUGAAGAAGGAUUUCGGUUCGUAAAGCUCUGUUGUUAGGGAAGAAUGGAUAUGUAGUAACUAUACAUGUAAGAGACGGUACCUAACCAGAAAGCCACGGCUAACUACGUG
rnacentral:rRNA from 1 species